GCGCGGCUAGCUCAAUUGGUAGAGCGCCACAUUGACGUUGUGGAUGUUAUAGGUUCAAGUCCUAUGUCGCGCACCA
rnacentral:tRNA from 1 species